GCUAAGUCGGAUCCUACAGAAGUAAACAUUCUUGCGGAGUUUCUGAAUGUAGAACCUAAGUGUUCUUGCUUCUUCUCCAGCCAGGGAGUUUUGUCAUGCAUACUAACCAGGAGCUCAAGGGUUAUAAAGAAAAAGACCACCGUAAACCACUAAGCAAGAGGAAACAAACAGCUACUUCUAAUAGCGCUGCUGGAGACACUAGUAGUAGAAAAAGGGAUUUCAGUUAAUAAUUCACCUCUUCAGUGCAGCCUGAAUCCUGUCUGCUGCUCACUUAUGAUAUGAUUCAACAGUAUACAAAGAAGUGUUGGACAAUUAAGGAGGACGCCUACCACCAUUCUUCAACUCGACAUGUAGGCGCAAAGGGACAACAGGCUCAGCGACCAGUGGAUUCUCUACCAGGAGCCAUCAGGGAUGGCCAAAAGUGAAAUAGAAAUACUGAAGUUAGAAGGCCUGGAUAACACUCUGCACCAGCGUGAGACGUAUGAAAAUUAUAUAACACGCCAUCCCCAAACAGCAGAAUAUAUAUUCUUUUCCAGUUCCAUAUGACAAUAUUCUGUACAUUAAAAUUUAUAGCAAGCUUGUAUUCAAUUUUUCUGUGCAUAUAUUAAAACUGAAGUGAGUUCUCAAAUCAGAUAUAAGCUUUUAGCUGAAUAAACUAAAAGGUAAGAUCAAAUUAAAUGCAAAACUAUAAAAUGAUGGUUAUAAGAG
rnacentral:lncRNA from 1 species